UUUUUAUUCUCAUAGGCCUGU
rnacentral:piRNA from 1 species